GGGAGGAAUAUUGCACAACGGGGGGAACCCAGGUGCAGCAACGCCGCGUGAGUGAAGAAGGCCUUCGGGUCGUAAAACUCUUUUCUGUGGGAUGAGGAAGGACAGUACCACAGGAAUAAGUCUCGGCUAAUUACGUGCCAGCAGCCGCGGUAAGACGUAAGAGGCGAGCGUUAUCCGGAUUUACUGGGCGUAAAGGGCAAGUAGGCGGUAGAGCAAGUCAGUUGUGACAGAUCCCGGCUUAACUGGGAGAGGACGAUUGAGACUGUUUGACUAGAGGACAGGAGAGGGAAGCGGAAUUCCUUGUGUAGCGGUGGAAUGCUCAGAUACAAGGAGGAACACCAGUGGCGAAGGCGGCUUUCUGGCCUGGUCCUGACGCUGAAGAGCGAAAGCUAGGGGAGCAAACGGGCUUAGAUACCCCAGUAGUCC
rnacentral:rRNA from 1 species